rnacentral:tRNA from 1 species
GAGGGUAUAGCUCAGUGGUAGAGUGCAUGCCUAGCAUGCAUGAGGCCCUGGCUUCAAUCCUCAGUACCUCCA